AGAUAGAUAGAUAGAUAGAUAGAUAGAUAGAUAGAUAGAUAGAUAGAUAGAGUUAUGGAAGUUUUGAGAGAUGUAAAGAUUUUAUAGACCGAAUUAAAACAAAGAAGACAUGUAAAAGCAAAACAUCAUCACUCAUUGGCUUAAAUGCACAACGCCUGCUCAUCUCCUGAUCAAGCUAAUCUUGUCUUACCAAGGUCCACUAGAAGCUGUUUAUAAGCCUAGGUCCCAAAAACUCGUCUCCAGUUCCCUUUGUCCUUGUCAUAAUCUAAGAAAACAACCACUGGAAAUGACAAUUUCUAAUCACAAUAUCUACCAGUCAUGAGCAUAGAAGGACAAGGCCUUACAAACAUCUCUAGAGUAAAAAUUUCCACCACAAUAGAUAGAUAGAUAGAUAGAUAGAUAGAUAGAUAGAUAGAUUUAAGAUAACAUUACAUAUGCAAGAUAUUUCAAAAAGGAUAAACAAGCCGAUGACGUAACAAUGGCAUUAUGAAGGUGUAAUAACUACAGUAGGACAUGUUUACAACUUAGAAGUAAGUUGACCUUAGCCGAAGUGUGUGUGUGUGUGUGUGUGUGUGUGUGUGUGUGUGUGUGGUGCUAUCCCUUUAAAAACAUAAAGCAACAGUGAACAGCAAGUGAACAGUUUAUGUUUAAACUGAUUGAUUCAAUUUCCUGGUUACAUAUUUGAACUAUUUAUCCAUCGUACACAGUUAUGAUCUUAUAAUCACACUCUCUGGUGUCACCCAGAUGAGGAUGAGUUUCCGAUUUAGUCUGUUUCCUCUCAAGGUUCCUUCCUUAUAUCAUCUCAGGGAGUUUUUCCUUGCCUUGCCACCAUUGCCUCUGGUUUGCUCAUUAGGAAUACAUUUUAAUCUAAAUAUUAAACUUUCUCAGUUUUAUUCUGAAAUUGUAUAUGUCUGUAAAAUGUUGCUUCGAGCCAAGUUCAUUCUUAAGAGCAUGAAUUGAAUUGAUUAUUUAUAUCCUCCUUUUGUCCCAUUGAUUUUAUUUUAUUUUAUUUCCACUGAGAGCUUCUGUACAUGAGUAAAACCAGCACAAGUAAGCUAAAGCUAUAAAAAAAAUUUUUAAUUUUUAAAAAAAAUUAAAUUAAUAUUCAUUCCCAAUGUGUGCGAGCGAUGAAUUGUUUUAAUGAACUAGCUCAUAUUUCUUGAUGACUUGUGUUGAAUAGUUAACCGUGGGUUAAAGGGCAGAACACUGAAACAUAUUGUGUGAAAUAUUUACAUGUCCCUUAGAGUAGAUUUGUCAAUUUGAGCAGGUUUGAAUUAUUAUAUAUUCAUGCAUGCGUAACUCUCUGUGGAUCAGUGACAUUAACCCAACUGCGUCAUUUAAUUAGCAUUUGACUUUACUGUGACUUAUUCGGCAUUAAUUAAUUUCAUAUUCAUAUCAUUGCUCUUUAAAAUCUGCUCAGAGGCAAGGAGAUUGUUUAAUGACUCAGUAGUGAUUAUUUCAUUAUUUAUUUUCUCACAGUUUUCACUUUAGAUCUGUACGUCAGUAUUUUACAAGCAGCUGUUUGGCAUUUUUAGACUGUUACAUUACAGAUCGUACAGAUGUUGGACAAGAUUGUUAGACUAUGUUAAGAGUCUUUACCAAAAGAUUAGGGACAUGUUUGCAAUCACUCGAAUGAACUAUAAUCAUAUCUCAUAGUGUAAAAACUUGAUAUUGAUAAAAAUUUAUAAAAAAAUGAGAUCAGACUAGACCUGUGAUUAACAAGGUCCAAGAAUUUUUCCAGUUUCCGUCUCGUACUUACAGAAAAUACACGGAGGAGGAUCCUGAAGUUAUUAGUGUAUUUGGUGUCCAUAAAACUCCCCAUCCUGAAAAUUUGUUUUUCCCAAAAGUAGCUCAAUAUAAGAUUAGAUGGAUUAGACAUAGAUUGGAUAUAUUAACCUUUUUUAUUAAUACACUGGUGUUCUUUUCUGCUGACAGAAUGGAAAUCAACUUAUGGGACAUUUUCGGUCAGUUUAAACAAAUUAAUUACUUUAUCACCGCAAGUCUGAUAUAAAAUUAGAAAGGUAACGGAUUCGUAUUUUGAAUACUCGUGAACAAGCAUGUUCAUACCACCAUUUACUUUGAAGAUAAUAUUUGAAAUAUUUGUAUGGUAAAACAAACCAGUUGGUUAUUUUCUAUGAAUAUAUUGCCCCUAGUAAUGCUUUUAGUAAACUAAAAAAACUACAAAUUAAAAACAGGUCUGAUUAAAAACUGUCUAAUUUUUUUAUCUGAGUCAUUAAGCACCACUGUGGAGUGUGGCGUGAUAAAGAUAUUCAAUGCUGAAGAUAAACACAACAAAGGUGCAAAUUCCAUUAUUUUCCCAUUCUGGGAAAAUUCUGAGAAAAUAAAUAAAGUAUUUUUAAUUAAAGUUAGUUCUCCUCAGUUAGUCAAAGUAAGGAAUAUAACAAACAAACAAAGAAACAAACUGUGCUGCAGUCUGGUGUGAAGUCUUACUGUUAUUCUCACCAAGCCGAUUACUUCUAAUGGUCUUUUAUUCCUCUAAUAUCAUAGCAUUUUUUGUUAUUAUUUACAUUAUAAUAACUAUAGACAGUUGUAUGAACAGCAUCAUGUCAGUUUUAUAUCAGAAAACUUAUUGACUGUUACAAUACAAAGCACUGACACUCUAGACUCCUUCCAUAAACCUCUUUUCACAAUAAACCUCACUAUAUAUUACAGGACAAUACGUAUAUACUAACUUAUUGCUUAAAUAACAAUCCUUUUUUUUAUUUAUUCUGUGGAUUGUAUGUCAUAUAAAUCCCUGAGAAUGAGCUGGUCCAGGAACUCAGUAUAAACCUGUGAUGUUAAUUAUAGCCCACAAUAUGGGCUAUAAUUGUCACAGUUGCUGCAAUAAUCACAACAUAGUAAUAACACCUUUUUCUGAACCAGACCGAAUGGAGAAUUUGGCAAAAAACAAUGUGAUACAUGUAUUUCAAUACAAUUUUACUCCUCAAGCUUACUACCUUCUAACAUUAGGUGCAAUAAAAUUACUAAAUGAUUCCCCGUAGUUAUUUAUUUAAUAAUAUGCUUUAUGUUGAAAUGAACAAUAAGCUGGGCAAAAAAAAAAAAUGGCUCUUUCAGGUUACUAGUUUUAGUUGCGGCUCUUUUUGAGAUCUUCAGUGGCCCUGCAGCAGAGCCGUUAUUUUCAUUCUUCCCCUAUGUUCCAGAACUUUGUUAGAGUCACGCUGCGCUGUAUGCUAAAGUGUGCACACUGUGUGUCGAGUGUGUGAAUACAAGCUGACAAAGGUGAUGGUGCAAAUGCUCCCAAGCAUAAUGGGUUGAUCCCAGAACAUCUCACACUUGAAAAACCCGAGAAAACAAUGGGAAGCUCUAAAGUUAAACUUGGUGGCUGUGGUAAGUUCAAUGCUGUGUGUGUGUGUGUCUGUGUGUGUCUGUGUCUGUGUGUGAUGGAGUGUUUGAGACCUGGUGUGUGGGGUGUGCUUUUACCAUAUGCUCGCAUGUGGGAUGUGCAAAGAAAGAUUGUUUGCUAUUCAUUUCAGACUUACUUUUUUCCUCUUGUCUUUCAUUUUUCUUGUUUUUUAUUCAUAUGAAAGCCCUUGAGAGACGACCUUAUUUUCUGCAUGUGUUUUUGUUUUUCUCAUUUAUUUCAAGCUAUGUUUCCGGUGUGCCGUGUCAUUUCUACCGCAAAAUAUGAUGCAGAGUAAAGAAAACUUUAAAGCAUCAAUCAAGACUGUCAAAUGCAGCUGUAUGAAGGUGAAACUAAUUUCCCUGUCAUCCUGUUGUCAUGGUUGCCAACAAAUCUACGGGAAUGUAGCAGCAUGCUAGUGUAAAUAAAUGACAUUUUUCAAAUGCAUUACAUCGUAUUUCAAUUGUCUUCUCAAUCUGUGUUACACAUUUGUUACUAAAGUGGGAUAAAAAAUCUCAGAUCUCCUUUAAUCUUGCUUCUCAUUGCCUUGUUCUUCAUACCAUUCAGUGUAAUUUUCUUAUUGUUUUUGGUGGUGCUGUUGCACUUGGUUCAGAUAAAAUUAGUCUGAUUUGGAAUCCAGAAACUAAAUCUUAUUUUACUUUUUUUUUUAAAUUAUGCAUUGAUAUGGAUAGCAAUUGUGACAUAAUGUUGUAUGUACGUAUUUGACUUUAUUGCCAGAUGUAUAUACUGUAUACACACAGUAAAUAUCCAUCAGAUUGCAUUUAUUUGGUUUUGGAUAAAAAGAAUUAACAUGAAUGAUAAUGUUUGCUUGCUUUUGUUUGGUUUAUUAAAAUGUUUCUCUUUUUUAAUGUCUGUUAAUUAUUAUACCUAGUGAAGGAAUUUUCUAGCAGUUAAAGGUCGAUUAAUGGAAGUCGCAAUAAACCUUCUGCAGACUUUGAAGAGAAGAUUGUGUUUCGAGGACACGUGAAAUAAACGUGCAAAAGUCUA